UACGUAGGGUGCGAGCGUUAAUCGGAAUUACUGGGCGUAAAGCGUGCGCAGGCGGUUAUUUAAGUCAGGUGUGAAAGCCCUGGGCUUAACCUAGGAAUUGCGCUUGAGACUGGAUAGCUUGGAGUGUGGCAGAGGGAGGUGGAAUUCCACGUGUAGCAGUGAAAUGCGUAGAGAUGUGGAGGAACACCGAUGGCGAAGGCAGCCUCCUGGGCCAGCACUGACGCUCAUGCACGAAAGCGUGGGGAGCAAACAGG
rnacentral:rRNA from 1 species